rnacentral:rRNA from 1 species
UACGUAGGGUGCAAGCGUUGUCCGGAAUUAUUGGGCGUAAAGAGCUCGUAGGCGGUCUGUCGCGUCUGCUGUGAAAACUCGGGGCUUAACCCCGGGCCUGCAGUGGGUACGGGCAGACUAGAGUGCGGUAGGGGAGACUGGAAUUCCUGGUGUAGCGGUGAAAUGCGCAGAUAUCAGGAGGAACACCGGUGGCGAAGGCGGGUCUCUAGUACGGUACUGACGCUGAGACGCGAAAGCGUGGGGAGCGAACAGG